CAUUACUCACCGUGUCUUCGCUGCUGUGGCCUCUCUGUGCUAUGUUUGCUAUGUGUAAAUGAUGCUACAAAUAGUCUACAAACUCCUUCACUGUGAUUAUAAUCAAUGUAGCCUCUGUAAUAAAUGCUUCUAUAUCUGUUUUUUUUAAGUGUCCUUGAAUCCUCCAGCCCUAACACUGCCUGUACGAAGAC